rnacentral:ribozyme from 1 species
GAAGAAAAUUUUUUUUUUUUUUUUUUUUAAUAAUUUUUUUUGUAAAAAAAAACAUUAAAUGAUC